UCUAGAGGCUUGGGUGAUAAGAAGCUCAGUGGCAAGGACUGGGUGGAAUGUGGCAGUGAAGGAGAUUCGCCUGCCAUGGGCUCUGGGCAGUGGCAGGGACCGUGCGAGGCCUGUCCCUCUGGCUUCUGGAUUCACUUGAAGACUUUGGCCUGCCUUCCCCAAGUUUCUGUAUCCACCAGACUGGAAACUUUCUGAAAGAAAUGCCUGAGACCUCUCAAUGUCCUUCCUGUCCCGCACCAGGGUGCAGCUUCUUUAUCCAAGAAUGAGAGGAAAUUACAUGCUCACGUUGGAGACUGAGAAGUCCCUAAAUGUUGCUGCUCAAGGAAGACAGGAAGCCCUUAGGGACUAAUGACCUGGCUUCAGUCUCAGUACAAAGGACAAAAACCCUUUCUCUCCACAAUGUCAAUCUCUUAGAGAAAUGAGGAAAGUGUACCCAUUCCUAAAUUGGCAAUGGAAUUAUAUACAGUCCAAUUAUGUACAGUCCAGAAGUCACACUGUUGUCCUGUGGGACUCAACCUUCAGACACUAAUUAGAGCACAUGAAAAAAAAAAACCUCUCCUGGUGAUGGUGCAUGGGUGUAUUGGUGAAGGGAAUUCCAUGGAGACUAUAUCUGGAGGAGGGGAAGCAAACAUUGUUUAAAAAUGAAUAAUGAUGUA